UGCGGCGUGCCUAUACAUGCAGUCGAACGAACUCUGGUAUUGAUUGGUGCUUGCAUCAUGAUUUACAUUUGAGUGAGUGGCGAACUGGUGAGUAACACGUGGGAAACCUGCCCAGAAGCGGGGGAUAACACCUGGAAACAGAUGCUAAUACCGCAUAACAACUUGGACCGCAUGGUCCGAGUUUGAAAGAUGGCUUCGGCUAUCACUUUUGGAUGGUCCCGCGGCGUAUUAGCUAGAUGGUGAGGUAACGGCUCACCAUGGCAAUGAUACGUAGCCGACCUGAGAGGGUAAUCGGCCACAUUGGGACUGAGACACGGCCCAAACUCCUACGGGAGGCAGCAGUAGGGAAUCUUCCACAAUGGACGAAAGUCUGAUGGAGCAACGCCGCGUGAGUGAAGAAGGGUUUCGGCUCGUAAAACUCUGUUGUUAAAGAAGAACAUAUCUGAGAGUAACUGUUCAGGUAUUGACGGUAUUUAACCAGAAAGCCACGGCUAACUACGUGCCAGCAGCCGCGGUAAUACGUAGGUGGCAAGCGUUGUCCGGAUUUAUUGGGCGUAAAGCGAGCGCAGGCGGUUUUUUAAGUCUGAUGUGAAAGCCUUCGGCUCAACCGAAGAAGUGCAUCGGAAACUGGGAAACUUGAGUGCAGAAGAGGACAGUGGAACUCCAUGUGUAGCGGUGAAAUGCGUAGAUAUAUGGAAGAACACCAGUGGCGAAGGCGGCUGUCUGGUCUGUAACUGACGCUGAGGCUCGAAAGUAUGGGUAGCAAACAGGAUUAGAUACCCUGGUAGUCCAUACCGUAAACGAUGAAUGCUAAGUGUUGGAGGGUUUCCGCCCUUCAGUGCUGCAGCUAACGCAUUAAGCAUUCCGCCUGGGGAGUACGGCCGCAAGGCUGAAACUCAAAGGAAUUGACGGGGGCCCGCACAAGCGGUGGAGCAUGUGGUUUAAUUCGAAGCUACGCGAAGAACCUUACCAGGUCUUGACAUACUAUGCAAAUCUAAGAGAUUAGACGUUCCCUUCGGGGACAUGGAUACAGGUGGUGCAUGGUUGUCGUCAGCUCGUGUCGUGAGAUGUUGGGUUAAGUCCCGCAACGAGCGCAACCCUUAUUAUCAGUUGCCAGCAUUAAGUUGGGCACUCUGGUGAGACUGCCGGUGACAAACCGGAGGAAAGGGGGGGGAUGACGUCAAAUCAUCAUGCCCCUUAUGACCUGGGCUAACACCUUGC
rnacentral:rRNA from 2 species